rnacentral:rRNA from 1 species
CUAACACAUGCAAGUCGAACGGUAACAGGAAGCAGCUUGCUGCUUCGCUGACGAGUGGCGGACGGGUGAGUAAUGUCUGGGAAGCUGCCUGAUGGAGGGGGAUAACUACUGGAAACGGUAGCUAAUACCGCAUAAUGUCGCAAGACCAAAGAGGGGGACCUUCGGGCCUCUUGCCAUCGGAUGUGCCCAGAUGGGAUUAGCUUGUUGGUGGGGUAACGGCUCACCAAGGCGACGAUCCCUAGCUGGUCUGAGAGGAUGACCAGCCACACUGGAACUGAGACACGGUCCAGACUCCUACGGGAGGCAGCAGUGGGGAAUAUUGCACAAUGGGCGCAAGCCUGAUGCAGCCAUGCCGCGUGUAUGAAGAAGGCCUUCGGGUUGUAAAGUACUUUCAGCGGGGAGGAAGGGAGUAAAGUUAAUACCUUUGCUCAUUGACGUUACCCGCAGAAGAAGCACCGGCUAACUCCGUGCCAGCAGCCGCGGUAAUACGGAGGGUGCAAGCGUUAAUCGGAAUUACUGGGCGUAAAGCGCACGCAGGCGGUUUGUUAAGUCAGAUGUGAAAUCCCCGGGCUCAACCUGGGAACUGCAUCUGAUACUGGCAAGCUUGAGUCUCGUAGAGGGGGGUAGAAUUCCAGGUGUAGCGGUGAAAUGCGUAGAGAUCUGGAGGAAUACCGGUGGCGAAGGCGG